rnacentral:tRNA from 1 species
GCGCCCGUAGCUCAAUGGAUAGAGUACUGCCCUCCGAAGGCAGGGGUUGCAGGUUCGAUACCUGCCGGGCGCGCCA